UACGUAGGGUGCAGGCGUUAAUCGGAAUUACUGGGCGUAAAGCGUGCGCAGGCGGUCUGCUAAGUGAGAUGUGAAAUCCCCAGGCUCAACCUGGGAACUGCGUCUGAUACUGGAUGGCUUGAAUCCGGGAGAGGGAUGCAGAAUUCCAGGUGUAGCGGUGAAAUGCGUAGAUAUCUGGAGGAAUACCGGUGGCGAAGGCGGCAUCCUGGACCGGCAUUGACGCUGAGGAGCGAAAGCCAGGGGAGCAAACGGG
rnacentral:rRNA from 1 species